CACAUAUCUCUUGGACAAUCAGAGUCUUCAUUGCAGGUAAAUUGACUUAAGGGAAAUUCAACUGUGAUGUAAAUAAGAAUAAAUGAAUGUUACUAAAAGAUGAUGAAAUAUUAUGUAUAAGAUAAAGAAAAAAAAAUUGAAAAUAUAUAGUAGUAUGAAAAAUGACUUACUCCCAUUGGUUACAACAAGAAAUAGAGAAAUAAAAGUAAUUAAAACAUAAAGGAACUUGAGAAUUAAAGCCAUAUUUUUUUUUCCUCCUUUGCAUAUAAUAAAUAGACAAUUGUUUGAUCAAUUUAUAUAGUCAAAAUUUCAUGAUUUUU
rnacentral:lncRNA from 1 species